AAAUUGAAGAGUUUGAUCAUGGCUCAGAUUGAACGCUGGCGGCAGGCCUAACACAUGCAAGUCGAACGGUAACAGGAAGCAGCUUGCUGCUUUGCUGACGAGUGGCGGACGGGUGAGUAAUGUCUGGGAAACUGCCUGAUGGAGGGGGAUAACUACUGGAAACGGUAGCUAAUACCGCAUAACGUCGCAAGACCAAAGAGGGGGACCUUCGGGCCUCUUGCCAUCGGAUGUGCCCAGAUGGGAUUAGCUAGUAGGUGGGGUAACGGCUCACCUAGGCGACGAUCCCUAGCUGGUCUGAGAGGAUGACCAGCCACACUGGAACUGAGACACGGUCCAGACUCCUACGGGAGGCAGCAGUGGGGAAUAUUGCACAAUGGGCGCAAGCCUGAUGCAGCCAUGCCGCGUGUAUGAAGAAGGCCUUCGGGUUGUAAAGUACUUUCAGCGGGGAGGAAGGGGGUAAAGUUAAUACCUUUG
rnacentral:rRNA from 1 species